AUGGACGCUGGCGGCGUGCCUAAUACAUGCCAGUAGAACGCUGAAGGAAGGAGCUUGCUCUUUCCGGAUGAGUUGCGAACGGGUGAGUAACGCGUAGGUAACCUGCCUGGUAGCGGGGGAUAACUAUUGGAAACGAUAGCUAAUACCGCAUAACAGUAGAUGUUGCAUGAUAUCUACUUAAAAGGUGCAAUUGCACCACUACCAGAUGGACCUGCGUUGUAUUAGCUAGUUGGUGAGGUAACGGCUCACCAAGGCGACGAUACAUAGCCGACCUGAGAGGGUGAUCGGCCACACUGGGACUGAGACACGGCCCAGACUCCUACGGGAGGCAGCAGUAGGGAAUCUUCGGCAAUGGACGGAAGUCUGACCGAGCAACGCCGCGUGAGUGAAGAAGGUUUUCGGAUCGUAAAGCUCUGUUGUAAGAGAAGAACGAGUGUGAGAGUGGAAAGUUCACACUGUGACGGUAUCUUACCAGAAAGGGACGGCUAACUACGUG
rnacentral:rRNA from 1 species